GCAACAUAAGAUUCAUUCUGCCUACCUUAACUUUGGGUACAAAGUUAGAUACAUGAUAAAUAUUAGUUGAAUUGAAAUAUAAGUUGCCAUUGUAAUACAUUAAAGAAUGCAGGUCUUUUAAUGUAAGUUCAAAGUCACAAUGAGGUGAUGGGACCAAUAAUUUUAAAACAUUUUCUUUUGUACAAUUGAGGCUCAGUAAGGCUUAAAAUACGCAGCCAAUCAUACUUUACUUCUUAAAUAAGAACAUAGGAGAUCUCUAUAUAAAAUGACUGAAAGGG